rnacentral:rRNA from 1 species
CCCUGACCGAGCAACGCCGCGUGAGUGAAGAAGGUUUUCGGAUCGUAAAGCUCUGUUGUAAGUCAAGAACGGGUGUGAGAGUGGAAAGUUCACACUGUGACGGUAGCUUACCAGAAAGGGACGGCUAACUACGUGCCAGCAGCCGCGGUAAUACGUAGGUCCCGAGCGUUGUCCGGAUUUAUUGGGCGUAAAGCGAGCGCAGGCGGUUUGAUAAGUCUGAAGUUAAAGGCUGUGGCUCAACCAUAGUUCGCUUUGGAAACUGUCAAACUUGAGUGCAGAAGGGGAGAGUGGAAUUCCAUGUGUAGCGGUGAAAUGCGUAGAUAUAUGGAGGAACACCGGUGGCGAAAGCGGCUCUCUGGUCUGUAACUGACGCUGAGGCUCGAAAGCGUGGGGAGCGAACAGGAUUAGAUACCCUGGUAGUCCACGCCGUAAACGGUGGAUGCUGGAUGUGGGGCCCGUUCCACGGGUUCCGUGUCGGAGCUAACGCGUUAAGCAUCCCGCCUGGGGAGUACGGCCGCAAGGCUAAAACUCAAAGAAAUUGACGGGGGCCCGCACAAGCGGCGGAGCAUGCGGAUUAAUUCGAUGCAACGCGAAGAACCUUACCUGGGCUUGACAUGUUCCCGACGGUCGUAGAGAUACGGCUUCCCUUCGGGGCGGGUUCACAGGUGGUGCAUGGUCGUCGUCAGCUCGUGUCGUGAGAUGUUGGGUUAAGUCCCGCAACGAGCGCAACCCUCGCCCCGUGUUGCCAGCGGAUUAUGCCGGGAACUCACGGGGGACCGCCGGGGUUAACUCGGAGGAAGGUGGGGAUGACGUCAGAUCAUCAUGCCCCUUACGUCCAGGGCUUCACGCAUGCUACAAUGGCCGGUACAACGGGAUGCGACGCGGCGACGCGGAGCGGAUCCCUGAAAACCGGUCUCAGUUCGGAUCGCAGUCUGCAACUCGACUGCGUGAAGGCGGAGUCGCUAGUAAUCGCGAAUCAGCAACGUCGCGGUGAAUGCGUUCCCGGGCCUUGUACACACCGCCCGUCAAGUCAUGAAAGUGGGCAGCACCCGAAGCCGGUGGCCUAACCCCUUGUGGGAUGGAGCCGUCUAAGGUGAGGCUCGUGAUUGGGACUAAGUCGUAACAAGGUAGCCGUACCGGAAGGUGCGGCUG